AGAAGAUCCUAGAACUCACCAACAAGAUGAUUGAGCUGCUGACUGGAGAGAUUCCUAUAAGGUGUCAGGAUGUCACCGUCUAUUUCUCCAUGGAGGAGUGGGAGUAUUUAGAAGGACACAAAGAUCUGUACACGGACGUCAUGAUGGGGGAUCACCGGCCCCUCACAUUACCAGUUAAGGAAGAGAUAACAACACCGGAGAGAUGUCCU